rnacentral:rRNA from 1 species
UACGUAGGGGCAAGCGUUGUCCGGAUUAUUGGCGUAAAGAGCGCUGUAGGCGGCCUUACAGGUCAGCUGUGAAAACUCGAGGGCUCAACCAUCGAGACGUCGGUUGAAACCGUAUGGCUAGAGUCCGGAAGAGGAGAGUGGAAUUCCCGGUGUAGCGGUGAAAUGCGCAGAUAUCGGGAAGAACACCCGUGGCGAAGGCGGCUCUCUGGGACGGUACUGACGCUGAGACGCGAAAGCGUGGGGAGCAAACAGG